UGUGGGAGCGGGCUUGCUCGCGAAGGCGUCGUGUCAGCCAACAAUGAUGUCGACUGACUGUCCGCUUUCGCGAGCAAGCCCGCUCCCACA
rnacentral:misc_RNA from 1 species